rnacentral:misc_RNA from 1 species
AUAUAUCAAUCCUCUCUUGUUGAGUGGUUUGGAUGUGGGGGUUUGCUGGCCUCUGAAAAGGGAUUCAGCUCCUCUGAAAAGCAUUAGCAGAGCGACUCUGUUCAUUAGUGUGAUAACUAUCUAUGCUAUUGAAUGUGUGUGGUUCAGCUUUCUAACUGUCCUUGGACAAAUUUAUCAUUU